GAUGAACGCUGGCGGCGUGCUUAACACAUGCAAGUCGAACGAAGCACUUUAUUUGAUUUCCUUCGGGACUGAUUAUUUUGUGACUGAGUGGCGGACGGGUGAGUAACGCGUGGGUAACCUGCCUUGUACAGGGGGAUAACAGUUGGAAACGGCUGCUAAUACCGCAUAAGCGCACAGCAUCGCAUGAUGCAGUGUGAAAAACUCCGGUGGUAUAAGAUGGACCCGCGUUGGAUUAGCUAGUUGGUGAGGUAACGGCCCACCAAGGCGACGAUCCAUAGCCGACCUGAGAGGGUGACCGGCCACAUUGGGACUGAGACACGGCCCAAACUCCUACGGGAGGCAGCAGUGGGGAAUAUUGCACAAUGGGCGAAAGCCUGAUGCAGCGACGCCGCGUGAGCGAAGAAGUAUUUCGGUAUGUAAAGCUCUAUCAGCAGGGAAGAUAAUGACGGUACCUGACUAAGAAGCACCGGCUAAAUACGUGCCAGCAGCCGCGGUAAUACGUAUGGUGCAAGCGUUAUCCGGAUUUACUGGGUGUAAAGGGAGCGCAGGCGGUGCGGCAAGUCUGAUGUGAAAGCCCGGGGCUCAACCCCGGUACUGCAUUGGAAACUGUCGUACUAGAGUGUCGGAGGGGUAAGCGGAAUUCCUAGUGUAGCGGUGAAAUGCGUAGAUAUUAGGAGGAACACCAGUGGCGAAGGCGGCUUACUGGACGAUAACUGACGC
rnacentral:rRNA from 1 species